rnacentral:rRNA from 1 species
UCUCUCUGAAUCUGCGUACGGCUCCGCAAACCAGUUGCAAACUCGAGUAAGCUCGCUUGACCACGGACCCUCACGGGUCCAGGUCAAGCUACAUGGAUAACCCUGGUAAUUCUGAGGCUAAUACAUGACAGUAAGCUAGCUCGGCCAGCAUCAGUUUCCUCGUGAAACCGCUGGCCGGGUGGAUGUGUGAUUAACGGCUUGGGAAACCGUGACAGAACGCACGUUUAGACCAUCGUCAAUGGCCGCUGCGGUUCCUCGGGACCAAAGCCGGCUAGGUGGCUCUUACUACGUGCUUCUGACCUAUCAACUAGAUGGCAGCGUAACGUACAUGCCGUGGUUGCAACGGGUACAGAGGAUUAGAGUUCGAUCCUGGAGAGUGGGCCUGAGAGAUCUCC